CUCCCGCCGGGCCCGGGGCCGGAACUUCCGCGGGGGGAGCGCGGCCCGUCCGGCGGCAGGGCCGGGGCUCCGGCGUGGCGGGCCCGAUGGCGGCGCCGCCGCCGGUCUAUGUGUACAGUCCGGAGUACCUGGCGCUCUGCGACUCCCUCUGCAAAGUGCCCAAGCGGGCCAGUAUGGUACAUUCGUUGAUUGAAGCGUAUUCCUUACUUGAUCAGAUGAAGAUAGUCAAGCCAAAAGUGGCCUCCAUGGAGGAGAUGGCAAGCUUCCAUACGGACGCCUACCUGCAGCACCUGCAGAAGGUCAGUGAGGAGGGGGAUGACGACCACCCGGAGUCCGUGGAGUAUGGACUGGGUUACGACUGUCCGGCUACCGAAGGGAUCUUUGAGUAUGCGGCAGCCGUGGGAGGAGCCACCAUCACCGCAGCCCAGUGCCUGCUGGAUGGCAAGUGCAAGGUAGCGAUUAACUGGCCUGGAGGGUGGCAUCAUGCAAAGAAAGAUGAAGCUUCUGGCUUUUGUUACCUGAACGAUGCUGUCUUGGGGAUCCUGCGGCUGCGCCAGAAAUUUGACCGUGUCCUUUAUAUCGAUUUGGAUUUGCAUCAUGGGGAUGGAGUUGAAGAUGCCUUUAGUUUCACCUCGAAAGUCAUGACUGUUUCUCUGCACAAGUUUUCACCAGGAUUUUUCCCAGGCACUGGUGAUGUGACAGACGUUGGCCUGGGGAAAGGUCGCUAUUACAGCGUGAAUGUACCUAUUCAAGAUGGCAUUCAGGAUGAGAAGUAUUACCAGAUCUGUGAAACCGUGCUGAAGGAGGUGUACGCUGCGUUCAGCCCCAACGCGGUGGUGCUGCAGCUGGGGGCAGACACCAUCGCUGGAGACCCCAUGUGCUCCUUCAACAUGACGCCCGAGGGAGUGGGCAAGUGCCUGAAGUACGUCCUGCAGUGGCAGCUGGCAACUCUCAUCCUGGGGGGAGACAGGAGGCUACAACCUUGCCAACACAGCUCGCUGCUGGACAUACCUGACCGGGCUCAUCCUUGGGAGAACGCUGUCCUCCGAGAUCCCUGACCACGAGUUCUUCACAGAGUACGGUCCUGAUUACGUGCUGGAGAUCACACCGAGCUGCAGACCAGACCGCAACGAGCCGCAGAGAAUCCAGGAAAUUCUUAACUCUAUCAAAGGGAAUCUGAAGCACGUUGUUUAGCGGAGAAGACUCAGGUUUCUGCAAGAGGAUUUCCCAUGGGGAAGACAGUGUAUUUAUGUGAGCAGCUGGUGAAAUCUGUGGCUGCGGGUGAAAUUUGGAAGAAGUUACUGCUGGUUGAUUCAUUUUUUUUCUCUUUAUAGAAGAGAAUAAGAGCACUGUGGCUCUCCAGGCGGGAGUGUGGGCCCUCCAGCAGCAGCCUGCUGGUGCCGGCAGAGCCUCCCUUGCUCCUUCCACUCUCCUUUAUUAACACCGCAGAGUUCAUUCUCACAACUGGUUUUCCAUGGUUUUUAAGAGAGGGGCUGUUCGGAGCUGUGAACCCUCCCCAGCUGGAGCCCAGCACCGCAUCACCGUCCUGGCAGGAGCUCGGCCCCUGAGCUGCCCCGGGAGCGGCGCUGAGGGCCAGCCGGGCCCGGGCUGCGCCUCUUGCCCACAGAAAGGCGCAGCCGUUGUGUUUUUAACUGGGACUUUUUUUAAAUAAAGUGUUUGAAAUAUUC